rnacentral:rRNA from 1 species
CAUGGAGUUUGAUCCUGGCUCAGAUUGAACGCUGGCGGCAUGCUUUACACAUGCAAGUCGAACGGUAACAGGUUAAGCUGACGAGUGGCGAACGGGUGAGUAAUGCAUCGGAACGUGCCCGAUCGUGGGGAUAACGCAGCGAAAGCUGCGCUAAUACCGCAUACGAUCUGUGGAUGAAAGCGGGGGACCGUAAGGCCUCGCGCGAUUGGAGCGGCCGAUAUCAGAUUAGGUAGUUGGUGGGGUAAAGGCUCACCAAGCCAACGAUCUGUAGCUGGUCUGAGAGGACGACCAGCCACACUGGAACUGAGACACGGUCCAGACUCCUACGGGAGCAGCAGUGGGGAAUUUGGACAAUGGACGCAAGUCUGAUCCCAGCCA